rnacentral:rRNA from 1 species
GACGAACGCUGGCGGCGUGCCUAAUACAUGCAAGUCGAACGCUGAAGAGAGGAGCUUGCUCUUCUUGGAUGAGUUGCGAACGGGUGAGUAACGCGUAGGUAACCUGCCUUGUAGCGGGGGAUAACUAUUGGAAACGAUAGCUAAUACCGCAUAACAAUGGAUGACACAUGUCAUUUAUUUGAAAGGGGCAAUUGCUCCACUACAAGAUGGACCUGCGUUGUAUUAGCUAGUAGGUGAGGUAAUGGCUCACCUAGGCGACGAUACAUAGCCGACCUGAGAGGGUGAUCGGCCACACUGGGACUGAGACACGGCCCAGACUCCUACGGGAGGCAGCAGUAGGGAAUCUUCGGCAAUGGGGGCAACCCUGACCGAGCAACGCCGCGUGAGUGAAGAAGGUUGUCGGAUCGUAAAGCUCUGUUGUAAGUCAAGAACGGGUGUGAGAGUGGAAAGUUCACACUGUGACGGUAGCUUACCAGAAAGGGACGGCUAACUACGUG